rnacentral:sRNA from 1 species
UACAUCAUUGGGAAUGGAGGGAAAUAAAUGACUGGAUGGUCGCUGCUUUUUAAGUUUCAAAUUGACAUUCCAGACAAGCGGUGCCUGAGCCCGUGCCUGUCUUCAGAUCUUCACAGCACAGUUCCUGGGAAGGUGGAGCCACCAGCCUCUCCCUGACAAGCAAAGUGGAUCAGCAAAGGCUGCAGUCACCAGCAUCUUUUCCAACCUUAAUGAACUGUAUCCUCAAAAGAACACUAUCAGACUGGUAAGACAAGCAUUAUUGUCCCACUUCACAGAUGAAGAGCUUGGGGGGCCCUGUGGAUGUGUAGGAGAGUCGGCCUUCCUUUUUAUAGGCCUUUUGCUGAGCUCAGAGGACAGAGCAGAAGACAAAGCCGAAAUGCAGCCCUAAGCAGACACUAUCCCAGCCCAAGGAGCUAUGCAGACAGCUCCUGCCUAGAGGAGAAACAAUUCUCUCCUUCAGCCAGGCAUGUGGCACAGAGGUGAACAGGAAAUGCUUAGGGAGACAGUUCACAGAUAUAUAUGUACUUCACAGGGCACAAUUUAAUCCAUAAAUCAAUCAUGGAUCACCGCUAAAGAAAACAAAAUAUGCUGCCACUAAUUUGCCACCACCCUGUGAGCAUGAUUGGAUGAUGUUUAUUUUGAUUAGGAGAUUGCUCCAUUUAUAAAUCUUCAAUACAUCCUGUCCCCCCUAAAACGGCAUCUGGGAUCUUUUGAGGGUUAAAAAAAAAGUGAAAUUGGAUGAGGGAUGAGAGCUGGACUUCUGUGUGUCCCGGGGUCCCUGGAUCCACAGCCUGGUGCCUAGCAUCAGUUAAGCCCACGCUGGGGUCGCAUCACAUCCCGCAAAGCCACGUGCUCUGUGAGGCCAACAGGAGCCCCGCCGGGUGGACCAGCUGGAAUCUCAGAGAGCGCCGACUCUGAAAACUACCCGGCUCUGCAGAAGCACGCUGGGCCCAGGGGCUUCUAGACUGACAGCUCCAUUUAUCAACUACCUAUUGGUUUUAAAAAUUGGAGUGUCUUUUCCGCGUUGACUGAUUUUGGCUCUAAGAGAUGUCGCUGGUCAUUUCAGAGUGACUGAACCUCCCCUCUAACAGAUCCCGGGAAUUGUUUUCAGGAAAGGUAAAAGGCAGCCUUUUCUGUCACAACACAACGCUGAGCCGGCAGCCUGGCUCUGUCAGGAUCUGGGGCUCCCGCGCCCGAGAAGCCCAGCCUCGCCGGCGGCCAAGUUCACCGCGAGGCCCCGCGCUGCCUGCGCUGCGCUCCCGGACCCGCACCGACCGCAGCGCGCCGCCGGUGCUUCUCCCACCCCAGCCUGGAAGCUGCCUCCCUCCGCCUAUGCCUGCAGGAUAAGAAGCCCGAGGAGGCGGAGCAUGGAACUCGACAGUUAAAACAUUUAAGAGAGAAAACCUAGUGUCUUGCUGGCCUGAAAUCGAGUACGCAGCCCGGGGGUGAUCAGGGUCUCCCGGCCCGGAUGUGUGAGACUUGCUUCCCCUGGGCAAUAGGCGAUACGAUGCUUUAGGAGGAAGGUGUCUCUCCCUCCUAAGCCCCGGAGGGGAGAACUUCCAAAGACAGAAAACCACAGGCUUCCUGGCACAGAGCUUUCCCUUUAUCAGCUAAAGCAGAAUCUUUUCUGGCCUUAACCUGGCCCCUUCCUCUAACUGCAGGCAGAGAGGCAGACAGAAAAGCACUUGCUGAAACACAAAGUUUUGUUCUGUCCUCAACGAACUGUCUAGAGUUGAUUGCUGAUAGUCGUGGUGCAUUAUGCCUUCCUGGUUUUCAUUUAAUUGGGCACCACGCUGCCUUUCAAGACGCCUUAAAGGAACCAACAACCAAAUCCAAGAGAGCUGGACAGACCAUUGAACACACAGUAGGCUGUGUCUCGUGGCUUUCGUUGUCUGGUGCCUCAAAGAAAACACCAGAAAGAUUGUUUCUAAGCUAGAGCCACCCCAGAUUGCUUAAAGUGCAAAGCUCACUGCUGUUGGGGGGUACCCUUGUGAGACACUGGAAAGCUGGUUUUACCGUGGCCCUAUGAAGAGGAAGACUGAAAUUUAGACAGUAAUACCUUUACUAGGAUUGGAAAAGAUUUGGUUAAUGACAGCCCUGUUAUUUCUAAAACCCAUUAUCACUGUAUGAGAGAUUCCUUUGCGCUGCAUCCUCGACAGUGCUUCCUAAGGCUCUGCCGACUUCCAGUUCUGGAACAAGAUGGUUAAACUCAUUUUUCCCUGCUCUGCUCCUCUAAAUACAACUAAGUACCUUGGAAACUAUUCAGCAGACAAUGAUAAAGGGCUCUGAAAGCUAGAAGAAAAGGUGUACUUGCAAGAAACCUCAGGACUUGAGUAACAGCAACAUGUCUUGGACGAGCCUGAGGAUGUCUACAAGUGGAAGAAAAGAAGCCACUGGAGCAGAAGGUGGGGAGGAUAAAAUUUGGAGCAAGAUUCUCAAGGAAGCAACAAGAUCCUAAGGAAAGGAGAAAGAGACCACCUACUGCAUUUCUGUCACUCGCUGAAAAGGACACUCUGUCAGAAAAUCUUCUAGCAAACUUCAAAGGGCAAAAUCACCCCUUGUUACUGAUAAAGCCCAGAGAGCUUCAGCAGCUAACAUUCCCUGGACAGGGCACAGCAAGGAUUUGAACCUAGGUCAGUCUGGCCAGAACACCCACAAGCUUUCCUUAACUCAGUGUGCUAUCUCCCCACGACUAGGUCACUACUGCUUUAUAAUCACCUUUGUAGCCACCAGUGGAUUUUGCUCAUCAGUAUUUUUCAGGCAAUUGAUACUUUAGAUAUUCAGCUGCAAGACGUAUGCAGUUUUCAUUGACAUCUUUUGGAGAAACUGACAAACCUGGACUUGACUUAAUGCCUUUGGAACCUUCCAAGAUGUUAUAUAACUCUAGAUAGAAGGCUGGGCCUCCAUGAUGUCAGGAAUGUUGCAUUCUUAUUUCCCCAUAGAUAAACCCAUUUGUCCACAAAGUCAAGGAGUCAGGCAGAGGCCCUUGCCAUGGGGCUUUUUAGGAUAAAGCAACAAGCCUGGACUUUGCUCUACAACAGGGUUUUGCAUAGGGAGUGGUAUGACCAGAUCCCUCAAGAAAGAAAGCUUAGAGACCAGGCCAGAGUCCACUGCAGUAGCCCAGUCAAGAGAGGAUGGUGACUUGGACUUGUAGUAGAGCCAGUUAGAAUGAAAGAAAUUGACACAUUCAGAAAUGGUUUUAGAGAUAGAGUCAAACUGGACCUGAUAAAGAACUAGAGAAGCGGAGUGAGGAUAAAGAGAAGAGCCAUGACUGACUCGGAAGAUUUUGUCUUGAAAAACUUGAGAACUCAAGACAGAGUGAAAUAAAAUCACAUGUGGGAAAAA